rnacentral:rRNA from 1 species
UACGCAGGGGGCUAGCGUUGUUCGGAAUUACUGGGCGUAAAGCGCACGUAGGCGGAUAUUUAAGUCAGGGGUGAAAUCCCGCAGCUCAACUGCGGAACUGCCUUUGAUACUGGGUAUCUUGAGUAUGGAAGAGGUAAGUGGAAUUCCGAGUGUAGAGGUGAAAUUCGUAGAUAUUCGGAGGAACACCAGUGGCGAAGGCGGCUUACUGGUCCAUUACUGACGCUGAGGUGCGAAAGCGUUGCGAGCAAACAGG